rnacentral:lncRNA from 1 species
GUGCUGAGCACUUGAUAGAAAACAAGUACUGUACGAAAGAAAAGCUUUGCAUCAACGGAAGAAGUGCAGGUGGCCUGUUGAUGGGUGCUGUCCUAAAUAUGAGGCCCGACUUAUUCAAAGCAGCUGUUGCUGGGGUGCCUUUCGUGGAUGUUCUCACAACUAUGCUUGACCCAACUAUCCCGUUGACUACUGCUGAAUGGGAGGUAUUAAUCUCCUGUGUUGCAUUUAUUUUGUUUCCAUGUUUCACUGUUGUAUCAUCACAUUGUACAGUAGCUUCAGUUAGACUUAAAUUAGCCUGGCCUUUGAUCUGAACAAGGCUUGCUUGGUGGGCAUGUCUAAGACUAGGAAAUGAUUGUCGUACUAUAACAUAUAUGUCAUCAAAUUCCUUAUUACAUAGUUUGAAUGCAUAUAGUUUUUAUGCCUUUUAUAUCCUUAUGAUAAAAAAUAAAUAGGAAGCGAAUAAUUUGCGCUGUAUGUAAUCUGUGCAUGCUCAUUGGCCAUGCACGUGCUAUGGUCUUGUUAUGUACUCCCUCUGUAACUUAACAUAACUCGUUUUUUGACACAACGACAAUGUCAAGAAAAGUCUUGUAUUAAGUUACGGAGGGAGUAUUUAUUCUAGGUAUCAACUUUCGUUGCAUUGCGCACCUGCAGUUCUGUUUCUGCUCUCACCAACACAUCCUUUUGUGCCCUUGGUUCAGGAGUGGGGUGAUCCAAGGAAAGAAGAAUACUACUAUUACAUGAAAUCUUAUUCUCCUGUUGAUAACGUAAGUGCUCAUCUUUAUUUUGUGAUAUAUGUGUUUUCUUGCCCCGCAUCGCAUGCUAUCGAGGCUGGCUGCACAAAUGUAUUGACCUGAGAUGCCUGUCCAUCUGCCGCAGGUAAAAGCACAAGACUAUCCCCACAUUCUCGUCACUGCUGGCUUGAACGGUAUGGCCCUUGGAUUCUGAGUUUCUGUUGGCUACCGUUAGCCGUUACACCAGAUUAUACUCACAGCUAACUACUUCGUGACAAACAGAUCCCCGCGUGAUGUACUCGGAGCCUGCUAAGUUCGUGGCGAAGCUGAGGGAGCUCAAGACUGAAAACAACCUCCUGCUGUUCAAGUGCGAGCUCGGCGCCGGGCACUUCUCCAAGUCGGGGAGGUAAAUAAAUAGCAAAGGAGACAUUACUUCUUUGCGCUUGAUUUCUUCUUUUUUGACGUGGCAUGCUGUUAUUACUGCCAAAAGGGAAGUUGUUUUUUCCGGCCUAACUGUUGUUUGUUUUAACUUGCAGGUUUGAGAAGUUGCGAGAAGACGCCUUCACCUAUGCAUUCAUUCUCAAGGCGCUGGGCAUGACUCCUCCAACAACGGCUUCUUCGCUGUGACGUGCGCACAUAUUCGUCGUUGCCUUCAGUAAUUGCAUGGAUUUAAUUUUUUAGACACUUCUUCUGAUUUGCCCAAGAAGGUGGGUAAGAAAGGAAGCCAUUUGAAUUAGGUGUAAGGAAGCCAUUUGAAUUAGGUGUGGCCUGUGAGGGAGUGGACUAGCAACUGAAUCUGUGACACUGUUAUUUGGCAAGAAUGGGAUGACUGAUCCUCUGUUUCGGUAUCGUGGUUUGGUCUGAUGAUGAUAAGGAAGUGCAAUCUCUUUUUGACUUGUGUGUUAGACGUGUGCUGAAGCACAAGAUAGGAAGUGUAAUCCUUGUUUUGCUAUCAUGGUUUGGUUUGAUGUUUGGAAAUCGAACUC